rnacentral:rRNA from 1 species
UACGUAGGGGGCAAGCGUUAUCCGGAUUUACUGGGUGUAAAGGGAGCGUAGACGGCCAUUCAAGCCAGAUGUGAAAGCCCGGGGCUCAACCCCGGGACUGCAUUUGGAACUGUAUGGCUGGGGUGUCGGAGAGGCAGGCGGAAUUCCUAGUGUAGCGGUGAAAUGCGUAGAUAUUAGGAGGAACACCAGUGGCGAAGGCGGCCUGCUGGACGAUGACUGACGUUGAGGCUCGAAAGCGUGGAGAGCAAACAGG